CAUGUAAAAUGCGAAACCUUAGAGCUAAAUGCUGAAAAAUAUUCGGGUGCUACAGGUUUGAACUGUUUCUUGGGAACAAGAGCAUUCAAGAUCUCAACCUCUGCCAAUGAAAUAGCUAUUUUUCAGCACAAAGCAGUGAGCAUGUUAGAUAAGAAGAAUGUGAGACGUGUUACCCACUUGAGGGAAGUGUUGCCAUAUUAGAGUAAAAUGAAUGUGUCUGUCAGACAGCUUAUGUAUGUAAGGUUUCCUCAGCUGAGUCUACAAAAUAGCAAAAUGACUGAAUUUUCUCAAAUAGUCCAGUUUGAUCACUGAUUAAAAAAAUGUGUAGACUCCUUCCUCACACACAUCCUUAUUUUUUUGGAUGAGCUGCUCAUUGUGUUCAAACUCUGAAGUUGCUUAGUACCCCAGUAGAUCUGGUGUGGAUUAACAUAAAUUAUAAAAUCUCAAGCCUCUGGUGGACUAAGAUAAAUUAUUAUAUCUCAAGCCCCUUGAGGUUCUGAAUUUCAUAGCUCACUAAACUUUUUGUUUUGAUAGCUACUUAAGCUUAAUUUCCUUUCUUGUACUAAUGUGUGGUUAUGUUUACAUAACUUUAACCCCUUUCCCUUUUUUCAUGACACAGAAUCCCAGGGCCUGUCUUUGAUUAUUUUCCUUCAAAUAAUCACCUUUGCAAGGAGUAAUUCUUGCUUUUUCCUCCUAAGAGCCAGAGAGGCAAUGUUGUGUGAUCUUGGUUUGUCCUGGGAUUUUGUGACGCCGUUAGGGUUUUGAAGGGUUUCUUUUGUCGACCCCCUUACCCCAACAGCUGCUGUCACACCACUCCCAUUUUUCUCCUUUUUAACCUGGAAUCCCAAGGAGUGCUUUUAGAAGGGGUUUGUGCAUAUUCUGCGUGGGGGAAGCGAAGAUCUCCCUGUGGAGGAGCAGUGAGGCUGAGCGGCGUUCUGGGGCCGGCUGUCCCUCAGAGCUGCGGCAGGCAGGAGCGUUGAGGCAGAUUUCUGUCCUGUCACACGCAGCUGGCGGCUGGGCGCCCUUCUGCCUCUCCCUCUGGCACCUCUCUGCGGCGCUUCGCGGGGGGCCUGCAGCUGCACACCACAGAUCUGGACGACAUCAACCUGGAUGAAGUUGACAAACCCAAACCGCGCGCGCCGCCGCCGCCACCGCCGCCCGCUGUCACCCCAGCACCUGCAGCUCAUCCACCUCCUGCCCCAAACGCUCCACGAGGUCCAGCCCUGCUGGUAACUCCAGCUUCCCAGGUUGUAAGAGACACCUCCCACGUUGGCAAAGCAUCCCCUGUGUCAAGCAACCCGCUGCAACUUGCUCCAAGUCCACCUACCCAGCGUCACCCAGGGGUACCAAUAGUCUCUAAACCAGUUAUGCUGCAUCCUGACCCAAACUUCGUGGUCAGGCCAACAAUCAAAUCAGAGGCCCUGGUAAGCCUUUUAAUAUCAUUUUUCUUAGUACUCCAGUACUGUGGGGAUUUGGUUUUGACAUUGUUCUUUGAGAUAUCAUCAAAGAAUAAAUCUU